GGGAGAGUGGGAGGGGACGAGUCAGAACUACGGGAGAGGGGUGUGUCGAAUACAGCGAGGUGAUUGGAUGGAGAGGCGGAGCAGGAGAUUGACCAAUAGGAGCUGUCCGGGACGGAUGGCUCCUAUUGGUCAAUGUUUUUGCAGCCCUGCUCCUGAUAAGAUGAACAGAUUUUUUCCGACUUCAUUUUUCUCUUUGUGGAGAUCGCACUUUAGGACCAUGAUCGCCA